AAGGAUUUCCAUCUGGCUGUACGCUCGCAUCGCGCCGGCUGAUUAUACCGGAAUGGUAUUCGACCCGGCCGCGUACGUACCAGGUGAAAGUGAGACGAAUUGGAUGUACCACGCCUUCCUUUCCACGUGGAUCGAGCAAAACUUCCCUGACCUGUUCGUCGCGUCGAUUUUCUUCAUCAACCCCCGGUGCUUGGUGGCUUAAUGAACGUGUAUAACGAAGCUGCUUCCAACUUGUGUAAUUGAUCGCGUGGGAUGGAGGAUGAAGACGAAGAGGCCAAUGACAUAAUGGUAGAGACGAGUGCCAGGCAACGAAGCUAUAAAAUUGACAAAUGUUAAUUGUUUUUUCACACAAAGUAUCCAAUUACUGUUACACUGGAAAUAAAAGAGUUUUGUUUAUUUA